GUAUUAUUCUGUCUCAUAUCAGAGGGGGUAAACAUGCUGCUUAGUAUGUUAGGAGAGAGAACAUCGUAAGAGUCCAAAACAGAAGAGUUAAAAGCAAAGAAGAACAAAGAGAGAGUUAAAGAAAGAGACAUACAGACAAUUAAAAGAGAGGGAUAAGGGGAGGCAGACAGAGAAGGUAGAGAGAAAUAUGGACAGAGACACAGAUAGGCAGUGACAGACAGAGACAGGUAGAAAUGCGAGAGAGAGAGACUGAAAAUGGAUUCACCAUAUUCCAUAUUGUAACACACUGAAUAUCAC